UACGUAGGGUGCGAGCGUUGUCCGGAAUUCUUGGGCGUAAAGAGCUCGUAGGCGGUCUGUCGCGUCGGUCGUGAAAACUUGGGGCUUAACCCUGAGCUUGCGGUCGAUACGGGCAUGACUGGAGUUCGGCAGGGGAGACUGGAAUUCAUGGUGUAGCAGUGAAAUGCGUAGAGAUCAUGAGGAAGACCAGUGGCGAAGGCGGGUCUCUGGACAGUUCCUGACACUGAGACACGAAGGCCAGGGGAGCAAACGGG
rnacentral:rRNA from 1 species